AUAUGAAGGCGGGCUGGAAUCUCUCGGGGUUACAGCCUUGCUGAAUUAUUCACCCUUGUCUUUUGCGUACUUCUUGUUUCCUUGGUGGGUUCGCCCACCACUAGGACAAACAUAAACCUUUUGUAAUUGCAAUCAGCGUCAGUAACAAAUUAAUAAUUACAACUUUCAACAACGGAUCUCUUGGUUCUGGCAUCGAUGAAGAACGCAGCGAAAUGCGAUAAGUAGUGUGAAUUGCAGAAUUCAGUGAAUCAUCGAAUCUUUGAACGCACAUUGCGCCCUUUGGUAUUCCAAAGGGCAUGCCUGUUCGAGCGUCAUUUGUACCCUCAAGCUUUGCUUGGUGUUGGGCGUCUUGUCUCUAGCUUUGCUGGAGACUCGCCUUAAAGUAAUUGGCAGCCGGCCUACUGGUUUCGGAGCGCAGCACAAGUCGCACUCUCUAUCAGCAAAGGUCUAGCAUCCAUUAAGCCUUUUUUCCCCCUUUGACCUCGGAUCAGGUAGGGAUACCCGCUGAACUUAAGCAUAUCAAUAAGCGGAGGAAAA
rnacentral:rRNA from 1 species